rnacentral:rRNA from 1 species
AUUGAACGCUGGCGGCAUGCUUUACACAUGCAAGUCGAACGGAUUGAAGGGGCUUGCUCCUUCAGUUAGUGGCGAACGGGUGAGUAAUGCAUCGGAACGUACCGUGUAAUGGGGGAUAACGUAGCGAAAGUUACGCUAAUACCGCAUACGCUCUUCGGAGGAAAGCAGGGGAGCGCAAGACCUUGGGUUAUACGAGCGGCCGAUGUCGGAUUAGUUCGUUGGUGGGGUAAAGGCUCACCAAGGCGACAAUCCGUGGCGGGUCUGAGAGGAUGAUCCGCCACACUGGGACUGAGACACGGCCCAGACUCCUACGGGAGGCAGCAGUGGGGAAUUUUGGACAAUGGACGCAAGUCUGAUCCAGCCAUGCCGCGUGAGUGAAGAAGGCCUUCGGGUUGUAAAGCUCUUUUGUCAGGGAGCAAAUCCCAGUCGCUAAUACCGGCUGGGGCUGAGAGUACCUGAAGAAUAAGGACCGGCUAACUACGUGCCAGCCGCCGCGGUAA